rnacentral:lncRNA from 1 species
GCAGCCGCGGUGUUGUGCUGUGGGGAAGGGAGAAGGAUUUGUAAACCCCGGAGCGAGGUUCUGCUUACCCGAGGCCGCUGCUGUGCGGAGACCCCCGGGUGAAGCCACCGUCAUCAUGUCUGACCAGGAUAGCAGUGAGAUUCACUUCAAAGUGAAAAUGACAACACAUCUCAAGAAACUCAAAGAAUCAUACUGUCAAAGACAGGGUGUUCCAAUGAAUUCACUCAGGUUUCUCUUUGAGGGUCAGAGAAUUGCUGAUAAUCAUACUCCAAAAGAACUGGGAAUGGAGGAAGAAGAUGUGAUUGAAGUUUAUCAGGAACAAACGGGGGGUCAUUCAACAGUUUAGAUAUUCUUUUUAUUUUUUUUCUUUUCCCUCAAUCCUUUUUUAUUUUUAAAAAUAGUUCUUUUGUAAUGUGGUGUUCAAAACGGAAUUGAAAACUGGCACCCCAUCUCUUUGAAACAUCUGGUAAUUUGAAUUCUAGUGCUCAUUAUUCAUUAUUGUUUGUUUUCAUUGUGCUGAUUUUUGGUGAUCAAGCCUCAGUCCCCUUCAUAUUACCCUCUCCUUUUUAAAAAUUACGUGUGCACAGAGAGGUCACCUUUUUCAGGACAUUGCAUUUUCAGGCUUGUGGUGAUAAAUAAGAUCGACCAAUGCAAGUGUUCAUAAUGACUUUCCAAUUGGCCCUGAUGUUCUAGCAUGUGAUUACUUCACUCCUGGACUGUGACUUUCAGUGGGAGAUGGAAGUUUUUCAGAGAACUGAACUGUGGAAAAAUGACCUUUCCUUAACUUGAAGCUACUUUUAAAAUUUGAGGGUCUGGACCAAAAGAAGAGGA